GGUGACACGAAUUCUGAAAGAGUUUUGCUGGGCAUGUGUCUUCUGUAUGCUUUAAUUUUAACUGGAGCUUUCCAGGGUUGCCUGAUUCAAGUCUAUACUAAACCAUUUACAUAUCCAAACAUCGAAACUUUGGAUGCGCUAGACAAAAGUGGUCUUUGGAUCGGAAUUCAGUUCAAUAAUAAUGUGGUAGACCUCUUUGAAGACCGUGGGGACGCACCAUUGAGCCGUUUGAAGCACAAGCUCUUUUUUAACAUUGAUGACACGGCUUUUGAACGAGUUGCACAUGAAGGUGGUAUUGCUGUACUCGAACGUGGUCUUAAUGAGCCGAGUCAAACUAAAAAAUUCAGGCGAUCCAACGGUCAAAGUCUAUUAAAUUUUGUUAAUGAAUG